AGAGUUUGAUCCUGGCUCAGAUUGAACGCUGGCGGCAUGCUUUACACAUGCAAGUCGAACGGCAGCGAGGAGAAGCUUGCUUCUCUGUCGGCGAGUGGCGAACGGGUGAGUAUAGCAUCGGAACGUGCCAAGUAGUGGGGGAUAACCAAACGAAAGUUUGGCUAAUACCGCGUAAGCUCCAAGGAGGAAAGUAGGGGACCUAAUAAGGCCUUACGCUAUUUGAUCGGCCGAUGUCGGAUUAGCUAGUUGGUGGGGUAAUGGCUCACCAAGGCAAUGAUCCGUAGCGGGUCUGAGAGGACGAUCCGCCACACUGGGACUGAGACACGGCCCAGACUCCUACGGGAGGCAGCAGUGGGGAAUUUUGGACAAUGGGGGAAACCCUGAUCCAGCCAUGCCGCGUGUAUGAAGAAGGCCUUAGGGUUGUAAAGUACUUUUGUUAGGGAAGAAAAGCUAGUUUUUAAUAAAAAUUAGUGAUGACGGUACCUAAAGAAUAAGCACCGGCUAACUACGUGCCAGCAGCCGCGGUAAUACGUAGGGUGCAAGCGUUAAUCGGAAUUAUUGGGCGUAAAGCGAGUGCAGACGGUUACUU
rnacentral:rRNA from 1 species